UCUCCCACAUCCAAACCACCCAUCCCUCUAUUUUUUUCAAUCUUCAAUUCAACUAUUUUUCCUAUUCUAAUCGUUCCCUGCAGCCAGAAAACAAGACCCAUUCUUCUCAACGUCAAUUCAAGGUAAACAAUUUCCAUGUUGAUUUGUACCUAAAUUGCUCCUAUUUCAGAAUCUAACAUUAACAAUUACUAUCAACAUAAACUGAAAAUUUGCAGCUUCAAGAACCUUUCUUUGCAAGCUUGUGAACUCCACAACUAAGUCCUACUCAAGGAGGUGAAUCAUCGCAAGGAAAUCGUGAUCGCAAAGGAAAGAACGUAAUUUCAAACUAAGCACUCAAGGUUGAGCGGCGACGAGGAUGUGGUGGUGUUGAG